AUCACCUGGGAACCUUGUUAAAAUGCAGAUUUUGAUUCUGUCAUUCUGGCCCUGGGACUGAGAGUCUGCAUUUCUAGUCAGUUCUCAGGUGCUGCCUG
rnacentral:pre_miRNA from 1 species